GUGCUCACUUUAACAGCACAUAUACUAAUUGAAAUGAUACCAAGAAGAUUAGCAUGGGCCCUGCCAAAGGCUGACACACAAAUUCAUGAAGCUUUCCAUAUGUUU